CAGGCUUAACACAUGCAAGUCGAGGGGCAGCAUUUUAGUUUGCUUGCAAACUAAAGAUGGCGACCGGCGCACGGGUGAGUAACACGUAUCCAACCUGCCGAUAACUCGGGGAUAGCCUUUCGAAAGAAAGAUUAAUAUCCGAUAGUAUAUUAAAACCGCAUGGUUUUACUAUUAAAGAAUUUCGGUUAUCGAUGGGGAUGCGUUCCAUUAGUUUGUUGGCGGGGUAACGGCCCACCAAGACUACGAUGGAUAGGGGUUCUGAGAGGAAGGUCCCCCACAUUGGAACUGAGACACGGUCCAAACUCCUACGGGAGGCAGCAGUGAGGAAUAUUGGUCAAUGGACGAGAGUCUGAACCAGCCAAGUAGCGUGAAGGAUGACUGCCCUAUGGGUUGUAAACUUCUUUUAUAUGGGAAUAAAGUAUUCCACGUGUGGGAUUUUGUAUGUACCAUAUGAAUAAGGAUCGGCUAACUCCGUGCCAGCAGCCGCGGUAAUACGGAGGAUCCGAGCGUUAUCCGGAUUUAUUGGGUUUAAAGGGAGCGUAGGUGGAUUGUUAAGUCAGUUGUGAAAGUUUGCGGCUCAACCGUAAAAUUGCAGUUGAAACUGGCAGUCUUGAGUACAGUAGAGGUGGGCGGAAUUCGUGGUGUAGCGGUGAAAUGCUUAGAUAUCACGAAGAACUCCGAUUGCGAAGGCAGCUCACUAGACUGCAACUGACACUGAUGCUCGAAAGUGUGGGUAUCAAACAGGAUUAGAUACCCUGGUAGUCCACACAGUAAACGAUGAAUACUCGCUGUUUGCGAUAUACAGUAAGCGGCCAAGCGAAAGCAUUAAGUAUUCCACCUGGGGAGUACGCCGGCAACGGUGAAACUCAAAGGAAUUGACGGGGGCCCGCACAAGCGGAGGAACAUGUGGUUUAAUUCGAUGAUACGCGAGGAACCUUACCCGGGCUUAAAUUGCAUUUGAAUAAUCUGGAAACAGGUUAGCCGCAAGGCAAAUGUGAAGGUGCUGCAUGGUUGUCGUCAGCUCGUGCCGUGAGGUGUCGGCUUAAGUGCCAUAACGAGCGCAACCCUUAUCUUUAGUUACUAACAGGUCAUGCUGAGGACUCUAGAGAGACUGCCGUCGUAAGAUGUGAGGAAGGUGGGGAUGACGUCAAAUCAGCACGGCCCUUACGUCCGGGGCUACACACGUGUUACAAUGGGGGGUACAGAAGGCAGCUACCUGGCGACAGGAUGCUAAUCCCAAAAACCUCUCUCAGUUCGGAUCGAAGUCUGCAACCCGACUUCGUGAAGCUGGAUUCGCUAGUAAUCGCGCAUCAGCCAUGGCGCGGUGAAUACGUUCCCGGGCCUUGUACACACCGCCCGUCAAGCCAUGAAAGCCGGGGGUACCUGAAGUACGUAACCGCAAGGAGCGUCCUAGGGUAAAACUGGUAAUUGGGGCUAAGUCGUA
rnacentral:rRNA from 1 species